CCUUAUUUGAUUUUCUUCGGAACUGAAGAUUUGGUGAUUGAGUGGCGGACGGGUGAGUAACGCGUGGGUAACCUGCCCUGUACAGGGGGAUAACAGUUAGAAAUGACUGCUAAUACCGCAUAAGACCACAGCACCGCAUGGUGCAGGGGUAAAAACUCCGGUGGUACAGGAUGGACCCGCGUCUGAUUAGCUGGUUGGUGAGGUAACGGCUCACCAAGGCGACGAUCAGUAGCCGGCUUGAGAGAGUGAACGGCCACAUUGGGACUGAGACACGGCCCAAACUCCUACGGGAGGCAGCAGUGGGGAAUAUUGCACAAUGGGGGAAACCCUGAUGCAGCGACGCCGCGCGAGUGAAGAAGUAUCUCGGUAUGUAAAGCUCUAUCAGCAGGGAAGAAAAUGACGGUACCUGACUAAGAAGCCCCGGCUAACUACGUGCCAGCAGCCGCGGUAAUACGUAGGGGGCAAGCGUUAUCCGGAAUUACUGGGUGUAAAGGGUGCGUAGGUGGUAUGGCAAGUCAGAAGUGAAAACCCAGGGCUUAACUCUGGGACUGCUUUUGAAACUGUCAGACUGGAGUGCAGGAGAGGUAAGCGGAAUUCCUAGUGUAGCGGUGAAAUGCGUAGAUAUUANGAGGAACAUCAGUGGCGAAGGCGGCUUACUGGACUGAAACUGACACUGAGGCACGAAAGCGUGGGGAGCAAACAGGAUUAGAUACCCUGGUAGUCCACGCCGUAAACGAUG
rnacentral:rRNA from 1 species